GUCUACGGCCAUGCCACCCUGAACAAGCUCGAUGUCUGAUCUCGGAAGCUAAGCAGGGUCGGGCCUGGUUAGUUCUUGGAUGGGAGACCACCUAGGAAGAUCAGGUGCUGUAGGAA
rnacentral:rRNA from 1 species